GCCUCUGCUGCGGGAAAGAGAUUCCAUCUCAGCCUUUCAGAAAUGCUGUCCACGCUUCCGUUGCAGAAUGUGAGCACAUAUUCGUCCUCGCAGUUAUCUCAUCUUCUUUGACCCGCUGCUCGCCGUGCUUAUCUUGCAGGCAGGGGAGGCAGGGUAUGGGGAGGGGGCCUGCACCGACCUCCCUCUCAGGUUUCAGUGAUGCUAGUUCGUCUCCGUGAGCUUUGCAAGUGAGAGGUAGACUGAAGAGAAGGUGGUAAGAUCAAACAACAUCGUGGAUUAUGCCUCCACGGUAUCAUAUCUACCUGGAUCUAUGAAGCGAAUCAGAACCUGCCUUGAGAACGUCAAGUUUGAAUCUGGCAACGCCUCGCCGCACCUCGGUUGUCAACGUGAGCCUUACUUCGUCGGUCAUCCAGCCUGGGGGGGAUAUUCUUCCACCAGAUCCCGUGCCUUCGUUUUCGUUUGUAAUCAUAAGAUUGGUGCUAGUGUCGAAUGUGUCGAUGUCUGUCGAUUUUGCAAGCUGCAGUUUCGAUCACAUCCCUCGGGCUCUGAGCCUGUUGACAGAAGGCAUAUUGUGGGGGUUUUUUUUUUUUUCUUUUUUUUUGUUUUUUGUUUUUGUUUUUGUGUGUGUGUGUGUGUGUUGGAGUUGUGGAGUGUGACCUUCCAGGUUGUGUCAUGGAAGAGGCGGUGGAGUGCGCAGUAUGGAGCGGAUGUGUAGGGUUCGGAGAGUGACACUGAGCGUCGCCAUUGCCGAAGGCUGUUACUAGGGAACUUUUUGGGCAACACCAACACAUCUCCCCACAUGUCAAAGGCCCUUGAUCGUUAAACUUGAAGACCCAGAGCAACGAGCUUCCACAACCCCACUCUGGAUCACUGAAAACCGGCACCACAACCAUUACUCCUCUAGGAAAGCAACCACAUUGCAUUGUAUUUCAUCUUCACAAACCUCCUUCGACAUAAGUUUCAGAACGGUGAAUUGCUGCCACAAGAAGUAAUUAGAUAUAAAUCAUGUUCAAUGAACCAUCAUUGUCCAAAUCACCCACUUGGAAGAACAUGAAAUACUGUGACAAAUACUGAACGACAAUU